rnacentral:rRNA from 1 species
CCUACGGGGGGCAGCAGUGAGGAAUAUUGGUCAAUGGCCGGAAGGCUGAACCAGCCAUGCCGCGUGAAGGUCAGUGCCCUAUGGGCGUUAAACUUCUUUUGUGCGGGAGCACUAAUGGUCACGUGUGGUCAGACGAGAGUAUCGUACGAAUAAGCAUCGGCUAACUCCGUGCCAGCAGCCGCGGUAAUACGGGGGAUGCAAGCGUUAUCCGGAUUUACUGGGUGUAAAGGGCGUGUAGCCGGGCUGACAAGUCAGAUGUGAAAUCCGGGGGCUCAACCCCCGAACUGCAUUUGAAACUGUUGGUCUUGAGUAUCGGAGAGGCAGGCGGAAUUCCUAGUGUAGCGGUGAAAUGCGUAGAUAUUAGGAGGAACACCAGUGGCGAAGGCGGCCUGCUGGACGACAACUGACGGUGAGGCGCGAAAGCGUGGGGAGCAAACAGGAUUAGAUACCCUGGUAGUC